AAAGAGGAGUCUCUCGAAAUUCAGCAACUGCUAACAGCGAGGAGGGGUUUUGAAAGGUAAAGGCCAUUAGCUUGGAGGCAGAAGACAGACCUCCCUGACUGCUGAAUUCCUGCCGGCCUGAAAUUGGAGCAUUCCAAGCUCCUCAGAUGAGUCAUAAGCCACCAAGAUUGUGAGCCUCUGGAUACAGAAAAGGAGAAGAAGACCACAUGCAUACCCACAAGAAGAUGGAGGCAGAGACUGGAGUGAAGAAGCCACAAGCCAAGGAAUGGCUGGAGCCACCAGGAGCUGAAAGAGGCAACGAAGGAUCCUCCCCUGGAGACUUCAGAGGGAGCAUGGCCCUGCUGACACCUUGAUUUUGGAUUUCUGGCCCCCAGAACCAUGAGAGAAUAAAUUUCUGUUGUGUUAAGCCACAAGGUGCUAGCCAGGAUCACUCCCUCCGAAGUCACACCAGAGGGAGGGCUGGAGGGAGAAUCAAAUGAAAGAGAGAGGGAGAGAGUCUAAAGUCCACCAGGUCAGGGAGCAGGCCUGUCUCGUCUUCU
rnacentral:lncRNA from 1 species